UACAGAGGUCCCAAGCGUUGUUCGGAUUCACUGGGCGUAAAGCGUGCGUAGGCGGUUCGCUGUGUCCGAUGUGAAAGCCCCGGGCUUAACCUGGGAAUGGCAUUGGAAACUGGCGGGCUUGAGUGCGGCAGAGGGGGGUGGAAUUCCGCGUGUAGCAGUGAAAUGCGUAGAGAUGCGGAAGAACACCAGUGGCGAAGGCGGCUCACUGGCCCGGUACUGGACGCUCAGGUGCGAAAGCGUGGGGAGCAAACAGG
rnacentral:rRNA from 1 species